UACAGAGGGGGCAAGCGUUGUUCGGAAUUACUGGGCGUAAAGGGCGCGUAGGCGGCUUUUCAAGUGACGGGUGAAAUCCCUCGGCUUAACCGAGGAACUGCCUGUCAGACUGGAAGGCUUGAGACCGGGAGAGGUGAGUGGAAUUCCCAGUGUAGCGGUGAAAUGCGUAGAUAUUGGGAGGAACACCAGUGGCGAAGGCGGCUCACUGGACCGGAACUGACGCUGAGGCGCGAAAGCGUGGGGAGCAAACAGG
rnacentral:rRNA from 1 species